rnacentral:misc_RNA from 1 species
GUGUUAUGUAUACUCCAGGCUCAUCUUGCUCAACCCAUUCAGCUUCAUGAUGUGAUUCACCAUCUUUCGUUCUGCUUCCAUUUCUAGCUGUUGCUUCCAAAUGGUCUUGUUUGUUGUAACCUGAAUUACGGAUGCUGGUGGCACUAGAGCCAUUAGACAGCACCUGGCUAUAUAAUCCAUUUGUGUCUGGUCCUUCAGAUGCCAUUUGACCAUUCAGACGAUCAAGAGAAACAUUAGGAACAUCAUUGGAAGGAGUCGAGGCAAGUGAAGUAAAGGAGGGUGAUUUCACGUUUCG